GUCUAUGGCCAUGCUACCCUGAACAAGCCCAAUCCCAUCUGAUCUUGGAAGCUAAGCAGGGUCAGUCCUGGUUAGUACUUGGGUGGGAGACCACCUAGGAAGACCAGGUACUGUAGGCG
rnacentral:rRNA from 1 species